rnacentral:tRNA from 1 species
GUUUUAAUAGUUUAAUAAAAAUUUUGAUUUUGUAAAUCAAGGAUAAGAUAAUCUUUUAAAGCU